UUGGCGUUGGGAGCGCCGCCGGGGAGGUUGGCCAUGGCGUCUCGGUGGAAGAAGAAGGUGGAGACUGAUUUGGAGUCGUGGUAGCUCAGAAGGUGGGCGGUGGAUAGUUUUUCUUCGGUCGUGGGAGAAGUGGGUGGGUGUUAUCAGAAUACGGCGAAAGUGUUAUUAGAAUAAGGUCUUAAGAGGUGUUAUUAGAAUAGACCCAUUUUCUAUAUAUAUAGGAUGGAUCUAUUAUGAUAACACCUUUUAAAAAUCUUAUUCUGAUAACAGUUUCGUCCUGACCCGUAGCUACAAACUAACCCCGGAAAGAAACAGAGCGAACUGCACGGGCCAACAAAAAAAACUUCCAGCAGUGUCACUCUCCCCACGAUCUCCAUCAACUCCCUGCCAGCCACCUCCUCGUGCCCCACCUCCCCCCCCCCCCCCCCCCCCCUCCCUCCCCACCUUCUCCGGCGCGGUGCUCCCCUACCCUCCUCACCUUCUCCGGUGGCGCCGCCCACAACCACCUCCGACAGCGUCCCACAAGCACCACCUCUCUACGCCGGUCAUCGCCCUCCUCUUUCUCCCGCGCCAUCCAGCCGGUCAUGGCGGAAUUCGGUCGCCCACGGCCACCGGCGCGGCCUCAGCCACCAGAUUCGGCUGCCCUCGGCCGCCGGCGCAGCCUCAGGCUCCCUCGGCCGAAUCCAGCGCCGGCGAGCGGAUGGGCCGCCACCCCCAUUGCACCGUAGCCAGAUCCGGUCGGUUGCCUCCGCGCCCACUUCUCCUCUGCCUCCCUCUCGAGCAAACUCCUCUUCCUAUGGAUCCAUCAGCCACCGAAUCCCGCGCCGACUGGCUGCUGCGGCCCCACGCCACCAGAUCCCGUCGAGGGGUUGCUCCGUCGGGCUUCUACCGGCGAGAUGGCGGCAGGAGGUCACCUCCUCCGUGCAGUGCACACCAGCGCACGUGCAGUUCAUCAACACGGCGCGCAGACCCCUCACACCGGCGAGAGCAAACUCCGUCCCAUCCUCUGCCUCCCACCAUCUCUGCCCAUUAUUUGCAUGCAGUUCGGUGAUGUUUGUACUUGCAGAGAAAUUCACCAGGGGGAUGGCGGCAUCAACGAAAAAGCCGUGGAUGGCUGCAACGCUUAGGGCCUCCAAAUGCAAAAACUGAAGUAUUUUGUUUUGAGGGCAUGCAGUGCAGAACACAUAUGUUUUUAGGUGUUCAUUUUGUUUUCAGUUUUUUUUAGUCGAAUAUAUGCGUCUCUGUAGUACGAUGGCUGUGCAGUUUGGUUGCAAUUCAUGUGUGCUUUCUCCUCCAUGGCGCUGCAAGGUACUGAAUUUUCCAUGAACACGCUGUUGUCUGCCAUUCCAGGUUCACUGCCAUAGCAGUUUGGUGUGUGUGCCAAACAAGUCUUGCAAUUCCAUUGCGCUCUCCUCUGGUAGGAGCCUGCCCGGCCUCUGCUUCGUCCACUUGCAGUUAAAACUGAAUUGCCACAAAGCCAAGGAGGAGAGUGGUGUGGGAUCCAUUCUUUCCGCUCUGGCGAGGCCUCCAACGAGCGCCUCACCACCAGACCAAACUCUCUCAAUGGCGAGGUCGCUAGGCAAAUGUUUAGUAUUGUGUGCAUAGUUCCGUUUGUUUGAAGAGCCAACGGUUUGUGUACUAUAAAUCAGUUUGUACGUGUGGUUCAGUUUGAGUGAUGUGAGCAUCUAGUUCAUUAUUACUAUCUUGCGGUUCAGAUGCACUUUUUUUUGUUUUAGGUUGUGUUAUGUGAUUUGCAUGGUUGUGUGUAUAUGUUUACUUCUUUUUAGAUGUUGUUCACUUGGUAAAGAAGAAACCAAAAACAUCUCAAAAGAAGCUCACUUCUUGUUAGAUGUAGCUCACUCUGCUUCUUAUUAGAUGUAGUACGCACCAUUUAUGUAGCAGCUCAUUACACCUUUGUAUGAAGUGUAA